GUACACUCCUGCGGGAGGCAGCAGUGGGGAAUAUUGCACAAUGGGCGCAAGCCUGAUGCAGCCAUGCCGCGUGUAUGAAGAAGGCCUUCGGGUUGUAAAGUACUUUCAGCGGGGAGGAAGGCAAUACGGUUAAUAACCGUGUUGAUUGACGUUACCGGCAGAAGAAGCACCGGCUAACUCCGUGCCAGCAGCCGCGGUAAUACGGAGGGUGCAAGCGUUAAUCGGAAUUACUAGGCGUAAAGCGCACGCAGGCGGUCUGUCAAGUCGGAUGUGAAAUCCCCGGGCUCAACCUGGGAACUGCAUUCGAAACUGGCAGGCUUGAGUCUUGUAGAGGGGGGUAGAAUUCCAGGUGUAGCGGUGAAAUGCGUAGAGAUCUGGAGGAAUACCGGUGGCGAAGGCGGCCCCCUGGACAAAGACUGACGCUCAGGUGCGAAAGCGUGGGGAGCAAACAGGAUUAGAAACCCGUGUAGUCCCAU
rnacentral:rRNA from 1 species